GCCAGACACAUAGUGUGAUAUGUGUUUGUUAAAAAAUAAAAUGCUUUUUCUUGUUCUUUUUCCUAAAUUUAAAAUUUUUUUCACACCUCUGCUGGCAGGAAUCUUGUUCUAAAGGCAUAUGCAAAUAAUCAUCUCCAGACAUCUGUCGAACUAAUUUGCCAUGUUUUCCUUGACUUUACUUCUCUUCUUCUACUCCUUAUUCCCCAUAUUAGGCUUCAGAAGGUGGACAAAAUGAGAAAUUACCUGGAAAGAUUGGCCUGUAUGUGCUGCCUUUUCAAACCUAAAGUUGUAGAUUGUAUCAGCAUAGUUUUGGAAACGAGUAACAAUGUGGUUCAAUCCCACUGGUUUUAAUUGGCUGACAGAGUAUAGUAGAAAGGCAGGAUGGAUUUCAGAGCUGGCUUAACUGGGUGAGCAUAGCUUCUUUCCUUUGAAUUUUUUUUGGCAUUGUUACUUUUAGUGUGAUGUUCUUUUCCUUAGACUGGUUUGCCUCAUGCUGGCAAAAUGCCAUCAGAGGUUCUACGUUCUGUAUGAUGGAAUGUGUAGAAGAUGAGAGAGAAUCUAUUUUGCUUUUGAAAAUGAAGAAAUUUCUUACCAGAAAAACCCUCCUUUAUGACUCACUGGCUCGGAAUUAACUACAAAAGUUCUACAGAAGAGGGGAAUAACAAUUUCACCCUUCUUGAAUCUUGUUCCGAAUAUAUGGCAAAUAAUGGCAGUGAAGACUAGAUCUCCUUUCAUCAUUUGUGUGUGUGUGUGUUUGGGGAACCUGCGAGGAGG
rnacentral:lncRNA from 13 species